rnacentral:rRNA from 1 species
UACGUAGGGUGCAAGCGUUGUCCGGAAUUAUUGGGCGUAAAGGGCUCGUAGGCGGUCCAUCGCGUCGGGAGUGAAAAGCUGGGGCUCAACCCCAGUCCUGCUUCCGAUACGGGCAGACUAGAGGUAUGCAGGGGAGAACGGAAUUCCUGGUGUAGCGGUGAAAUGCGCAGAUAUCAGGAGGAACACCGGUGGCGAAGGCGGUUCUCUGGGCAUUACCUGACGCUGAGGAGCGAAAGUGUGGGGAGCGAACAGG